AACGGCCAUACCAUGCUGAAUAUACCGGUUCUCGUUAGAUCACCGAAGUCAAGCAUCGUUGGGCGCGGUCAGUACUUGGGUGGGUGACUACCUGGGAACACCGCGUGCCGUU
rnacentral:rRNA from 1 species